rnacentral:rRNA from 1 species
UACGAAGGGGGCUAGCGUUGUUCGGAAUCACUGGGCGUAAAGCGCACGUAGGCGGAUGUGCCAGUCAGGGGUGAAAUCCCGGAGCUCAACUCCGGAACUGCCUCUGAUACAGCACGUCUUGAGUUCGAGAGAGGUGGGUGGAAUUCCUAGUGUAGAGGUGAAAUUCGUAGAUAUUAGGAAGAACGCCGGUGGCGAAGGCGGCCCACUGGCUCGAUACUGACGCUGAGGUGCGAAAGCGUGGGGAGCAAACAGG